rfam:Pteropus alecto contig74573, whole genome shotgun sequence.
GUCUACGGUGAUGCCACCCCAAACAAGCCCGAUCCCGUCUGAUCUUAGAAGCUAAGCAGGUUUGGGCCUGGUUAGUACUUGGAUGGGAGACCACCUAGGAAGACCAGGUGCUGUAGGCG